AAAAGUUACCACAGGGAUAACUGGCUUGUGGCAGUCAAGCGUUCAUAGCGACAUUGCUUUUUGAUUCUUCGAUGUCGGCUCUGCCUAUCAUACCGAAGCAGAAUUCGGUAAGCGUUGG
rnacentral:rRNA from 1 species